rnacentral:rRNA from 1 species
GACGAACGCUGGCGGCGUGCUUAACACAUGCAAGUCGAACGGAAAGGCCCUGCUUUUGUGGGGUGCUCGAGUGGCGAACGGGUGAGUAACACGUGAGUAACCUGCCCUUGACUUUGGGAUAACUUCAGGAAACUGGGGUUAAUACCGGAUAGGAGCUCCCGCUGCAUGGUGGGGGGUGGAAAGUUUCGGCGGUUGGGGAUGGACUCGCGGCUUAUGAGUUUGUUGGUGGGGUAGUGGCUUACCAAGGCUUUGACGGGUAGCCGGCCUGAGAGGGUGACCGGCGACAUUGGGACUGAGAGACGGCCCAGACGCCUACGGGAGGCAGCAGUGGGGAAUAUUGCACAAUGGGCGGGAGCCUGAUGCAGCAACGCCGCGGGCGGGAUGACGGCCUUCGGGUUGUAAACCGCUUUCGCCUGUGACGAAGCGUGAGUGACGGUAAUGGGUAAAGAAGCACCGGCUAACUACGUG